GUCGUAAAAGAUGAACAGAAGAAAUCGGGGAAAGGGUUACUGUCUGAAGACCUUUAGAUCAAUUUAUAGUAGCGUGUAGAAUAAUUAUCCAUCCUUGGUUACUUGCUUUUCAGCCAUUAGAUCUCCUUAUGAUAAAUUGUCAAUAACCAUCGUAAGAAAAGCUGAGAACAAUAUCUAACACCAUUGAUUAAGGAAUAUGAAGAAGGAAUCAUAAAUGAAUGGAAGACUUCAAUGGCAUCUUAAGGAAUGGAAUACAUUGGAGAAAGGAGCUUUAGUCUACCUGUUAAAUCACAUGUACAGACAAGAAUAAAGCAUCGACAAAGAGAUGAGACAAACACAGUAUCAAGGCCUCAUUCAUGCAUUUUGGCCAUUUUCAAUUGUUAGUGGAGUUCCAAGAAAAAAUGAUUGAAGAUAUGAAAAAGUCAAGCAAAGUUGCGGUUUUUAGCUUUAUUCCUCGUAUCUGUUCUAUCCUCGAAGUGAUAUUCAUUUGCCAAAUGUUGAAGUCCUCACUGGACAAUGAGUCUUAACCUAUUUCACACAAACAGCUUCACCAUUCUCCAAAAUGCUGUCGUGUUUUAGUUUCUUAGUUUCAGGGCAAGCCAGCAGUUCCUCUUUUGCUUUGAUUACAGCAAAUUCAAAGCAAAAUCAUUGAAUCCUGCUUUCAUACUCAGAAACAAGACACCGUUGGGUUGGAGACACGGGGGAAGAAGAAAGGAAUUAAGAACAUCAAAUUCAAAACAAAAUCAUUGAAUCCCGAUUUCUUUCUCACAAUUUUAAAUCAUUUACCAUGCAUUUCAGUUUUGUUCCUUCUUUGCCAACUAGUACUGUUCUAAAUUCAAGAUUAUUCUGCGUAUCAUCUUCACUGGAACUCCUCAAUUUUUUUCUUCAUGAGCUCUCUGGUACGACGGCAUCAGCUUAUUUGAGAUCAAUACAACUCUUAUCCUAAUUUGUUCCACGACAUGGUAAUUAGGGGUGAGCAAGAAAACCACCACUGAAAGAAAAACAGUAUAAAUAUAAACUUUUCUUCUAACUCUAAAGGCCAAGUCAAACCCAGCCGCCGCCCUCCUCCAGGUUUUCUCUCUAUCUCAGUUCUCGCAUCUCCCCUUCUCUGGUUUCUUGUCUUCUCCAGUUUUAAGGUUCAAAGUCUCGAGAAAAAACGAAGGUAUCUAGCAAUCUUUAAAGGUAUAUCUUUCUUUAUUUUGCUCAAUUCCAUUCCUAAAUCUCCAUUUCCCGUUUGGCCAAUCUCAUGGGAACUAUUUGCUUAAAGCUCUGAAACCUAUCAAAUUGAAGCUAUCAAGCUCUUCUUCCAUUGCCAUCCACUCUGCUGGAGCAAUAAAGUAUGUUAAAAAAGCAUAUGAUGCAUUAUUGUUGGACGCUGGUGGAACACUUCUGCAAUGGACAAAGCCUAUUGAAGAAACUUACGCUUCCAUCGGGAGAAAAUAUGUUUUUUUUUCCUUCCUUUUUAUGCUAUUACUCCUAUUAUUUACGUUCGGGAUAAUAUGCUAUUUCUGGAUUAGAAUGAAGUGAUUCGCAGCAGGGGAUUUAACACUC